ensembl:lncRNA
AGAGAAAUUGUAUUUGUGAUUCUCUUUUUUGAUAGAAAUUACAAGACCUAUUAGCCUUUUUCUUUUUUUUUAAACCCUUACCUUCUAUCUUGGAAUCAAUACUGUGUAUUAAUUCCAAGGCAGAAGAGUGAUAAAUGUUUAAGUGACUUGCCCAGGGUCACACAGCUGGGAAGUAUCUGAGGUCAGAUUUGAACUUAGGACCUCCCAUCUCUAGGCCUGGCUCUCAAUUCACUGCCUCCAGACCCAUUAGUCUUAAAGUUUUGCAGCUUGGAUUGUGGAAGUAUGUUUAUUCUUGGAAUAUUGUAGCUGAAUUAUGUGAAAAAGUCUGAAGAUUUCUUUAAAAGCUAUUUUGGAGAAAAGGAUCCAAAAAUGGAUAAGACCGCUGUCCAAGAUAAAUGGAAUGAGGAGAACACCCCAUUCAGAGAAGGCUGUUUCAGACUCCAUCAGGAUUGCCAGAUAGUGGGAAGUCUGACUACUCCUGGGAACAUCCUCCUGUUUUCCUUUCUAUCAUCAAAUGGAAUGCUUGACUGCUCAUAGGCCUGGGGUACAACAGGAUCCCUAUGAAUGCAAGUAUCUGGGAAUGAGAAUGCCUGCUGUGGAGAAACUGCUUCAGACAGAUAUUUCUUGGAAUGAGAGAGGAUGGAGCAAUCAGCUUGGAAGUUUGGGGGGUGCUGCCAAAAAAAGCAAUUUUGCCUCAAAUCCUGGGUUGGACCUAAAUAAUUAUCCAGGAAGAACAUCAUUUUCUCAAGAAACAAGUUUUAGUCUAAGAACUUUGUUGGGGGUGGGGAGGUACAUCAAUCAGGUUGGAAAAUACAAUAAAUUGUAUUUUUCUUUUAAUGUUUUCAUAAGUUAUUUACUUGUAGAUAGUCUAUAUGAUGAGAUUCUUCAUGUGGAGAGACAGUCGUUCAUCACCUUUUUGACAGCUAGGUCUCUCCUGCCAUUUAUCUUGAAUAACUUUUCAUUGCUACUACCCAGAGGUGAAAAUUUCCCAGAGGACAGUAUGGGAUAGGAAUGAGAAGAUAAUGGAAGAUUGGAUUCUCCUUUUCUUCUAGAUAGGCUGUGUACUUGAGUUUUUCUUUACCCCUUUACCAAUACUUCUUUCAUGAUCUUUUCUCUGAAAUUUAAUAAAUCACGUUCAAGUCUAUGACUUAAAACCUUU